GUGGGGAAUAUUGGACAAUGGGGGGAACCCUGAUCCAGCCAUGCCGCGUGUGUGAAGAAGGCCUUUUGGUUGUAAAGCACUUUAAGCGAGGAGGAGGCUACCGAGAUUAAUACUCUUGGAUAGUGGACGUUACUCGCAGAAUAAGCACCGGCUAACUCUGUUCCAGCAGCCGCGGUAAUACAGAGGGUGCAAGCGUUAAUCGGAUUUACUGGGCGUAUAUCGCGCGUAGGUGGCCAAUUAAGUCAUAUGUGAAAUCCCCGAGCAUAACUUGGGAAUUGCAUUCGAUACUGGUUGGCUAGAGUAUGGGAGAGGAUGGUAGAAUUCCAGGUGUAGCGGGGAAAUGCGUAGAGAUCUGGAGGAAUACCGAUGGCGAAGGCAGCCAUCUGGCCUAAUACUGACACUGAGGUGCGAAAGCAUGGGGAGCAAACAGGAUUAGAUACCCCAGUAGUCC
rnacentral:rRNA from 1 species